rnacentral:rRNA from 1 species
GAUGAACGCUGGCGGCGUGCCUAAUACAUGCAAGUCGAGCGAACGGACGAGAAGCUUGCUUCUCUGAUGUUAGCGGCGGAAGGGUGAGUAAAACGUGGAUAACCUACCUAUAAGACUGGGAUAAAUUCGGGGAACCGUAGCUAAUACCGGAUAAUAUUUUGAACCGCAUGGUUCAAAAGUGAAAAACGGUCUUGCUGUCCCUUAUAGAUGGACCCGCUCUGCAUUAGCUAGUUGGUAAGGUAACGGCUUACCAAAGCAACGAUGCAUAGCCGACCUGAGAGGGGGAUAGGCCACCUUGGACUUAGGCAACGGUCCAGCCUCCUCCGGGAGGCAGCAGUAGGGAAUCUGCCGCAAUGGGCGAAAGCCUGACGGAGCAACGCCGCGUGAGUGAUGAAGGCCUUCGGAUCGUAAAACUCUGUUAUUAGGGAAGAACAUAUGUGUAAGUAACUGUGCACAUCUUGACGGUACCUAAUCAGAAAGCCACGGCUACCUCCGU